rnacentral:lncRNA from 1 species
GAGGCAAGCCAGUAAAGAACAUCCCUCCAUGGCCUCUGCAUCAGCUCCUGCUCCCUGACCUGCUUGAGUUCCAGUCCUGACUUCCUUUGGUGAUGAACAGCAGCAUGGAAGUGUAAGCCGAAUAAACCCUUUCCUCCCCAACUUGCUUCUUGGUCAUGAUGUUUGUGCAGGAAUAGAAACCCUGACUAAGACAAAUUGGUACCAGCAGAGUGGGGUAUUCCUGUGACAACCUGACCAUGUUUUGGGGAGGACUGUGGAAGGACUUUGGAACUUUGGGCUUGAAGAUCCAUCCGUUGUUAAGAGCUCUGUCGGAUGUUGUGUAGGAGCUUGGAAGAUAAUGUUGAGAACACUGCAGAAGAUGGAGGUCUGGUUUGUGAAAUUUCAGAGGGAAAAUUAAAGACUCUUUUCAGGGCCAUUGCUGUUUUGAAUGUGAAGAUUCUGUAGUUCUGGUUAGCUGGGGCUGAAGAAUCAGCUGUGAUUAACAAGAUACCAGAACUACCAAAGCAAAAACUUUGCAUUACUGGGACUAUUGAUGCUGGUUAGCUGGAGCUAAGAAAUUAGCGGUGAUUAAGAAGAGACCAGCAUCAUUGAGGUGACAUCUUCUGGGAAGUGUUUUCUGAGAGCACAGUGGCUGUGUUCCAGAUAUAGCCAAAGUUGUACCUUGUGCUGUGGCUGGACUUGGUAAUGUGUAAGGGUCACCCAGGUGGUACUGGUUUUGAAGGCAUGAAGGAGUUGAGCAGAGCAGCUGAGGCUUGGCACUGUGAGAGGCCAUGGAAGGCCAUUGGUGAAAGUCCAGCCUCAGUUGCAAUUGAUGGCCCAGGACUGAAGGGGUCAUGCAGUGUUUUGGAGAUGCCAGUACCAUGAGAUGACCACCAAGAGCAGCAGCAGCAGUGGAGUACAGGCAUCUGGAGCCUAGAGGAUGAAGCGUGUGCUACAAAGGGCCUGGCUGGAGAAGUGACCCAAGCCCUUGGAGGAGCCCAGAAGAUUGUAAGUUGGAUCCCAGACAUUGGACGGUUGGAGAUUGACUUUUGCUUUUGAUUGUGGCUGUGCCCUGAUAUUUUCCCUCUUGAAGGAAGAAACUGUUUUAGUGGAGCCCACGGUU